UGUGGGCAUGGAUCAAGUCACCUUGAUAGUCUCGGGUUCGCUUCAUUAACUGUGUGGAACAUGAAGACAUGGAAGGCUAUGACAGUUCUUCCUCUUGGUAAAGAUCCACCUGCAAUUACAUCCCUUAGUUUCAAUCACAAUGGAAAGAUUUUAGCAGCCGCUGCAACUGAUGGAAUGAUUCACAUGUUUGAUAUGUUUGCCGGUCUACAAAUAACUGGGUGGCCAGCACGCGACUCUGCUAUAAGCUCCAUUCUUUUUGGGCCUGAUGAGACAAGUAUUUUCAGUUUGGGAGUAGAUG